UGGGAGUGAUCGAGCAACUUUGGU
rnacentral:siRNA from 1 species